GUUGCCUGUGAAUUGAAUAGAAGUUCAGCCCCCUGGGUUCUCCACUCAUGCACUUUAUUAACCCUUCAGAUGCAAUGAGGAACCAGGGGUGUUAGUCAAAGGGGGUACAGCCCCUUUGAUACAAGACACAACUUUCUCAGUAGGAUAAAGAUCAUAAUAAAAUAAGGACAGAUGUUUUAGUGGGCCUAAAAGCAGCCACCUUAACAGAAAGCGUUAAAGCUCAAACAUGAAGCCCUCCCGUUAUACCGAUAACCCUAUCUUAAUCCCCCACAUUUAACAGGCCCUCCUAUGCAUCACAUAGGAACGACUAUGCUAAUAUGAGUAAUAAGAGGGUAUAACCACCCUCUCCUUGCACAUGUGUAAAUCGGAACGGACCCCCCACCGAAUCUUAACGGCCCCAAUCAAAGAGGGUAUUGGAAACUACCACAAAUUCAGGCCAGAAAAACAUCCAAUGAUAACCCGUUAACCCCACACUGGUGUGCCCAAAAGGAAAGACCGAAGGGGGGAGAAGGAACUCGGCAAACAUACCCCAAGCCUCGCCUGUUUACCAAAAACAUCGCCUCUUGCAUAACCACAGUAUAAGAGGUCCCGCCUGCCCAGUGACCAUAUAGUUCAACGGCCGCGGUAUUUUG
rnacentral:rRNA from 1 species